rnacentral:tRNA from 1 species
CACUGGGGUUCAGUGGUAGAAUUCCCACCUUCCAUGUGGGAGAUCUGGGUUCAAUUCCCAGCCAGUGA